rnacentral:rRNA from 1 species
GUGCUUAACACAUGCAAGUCGAGUGCGCGGUUGUAGCAAUACAACUGGCGCACGGCGCACGGGUGCGUAACACGUGGGCAAUCUGCCCUCCGAUGGGGAAUAACCCCGCGAAAGCGGGGCUAAUACCGCAUAACAUUCCUUGGACUAUGGUCUGAGGACUCAAAACCGCAAGGUGUCGGAGGAGGAGCCCGCGCCCGAUUAGCUAGUUGGUGAGGUAACGGCUCACCAAGGCAAUGAUCGGUAGCUGGUCUGAGAGGAUGGCCAGCCACACUGGAACUGAGACACGGUCCAGA